rnacentral:tRNA from 1 species
GCCACCGAAGGAUAAUAGUACAUCCAUUGGUCUUAGGAACCAAAGACUCUUGGUGCAACUCCAAGCGAUGGCU